UACCGUUUCUCAUAAAUACAGUUGAAUACUGUAAAUAAACAUUAAUAUGACAAACAAAAUAAUAACAGCAAGCUCCUGUUCAGUCUUACGGGAUAAUACAGUAUUUUUUGGUUUGGUCAGGCAUGUCAGACAUGUGACGAGCUCAUCUGCAACCAUGAGUAAAACUGAUUUAACUACACUGUUUUUCUGCAUUUUAUUAUACGAGAAGGAAGCAGAAUUAAAGACUAUCUAUCCAUUUUCACUCCGAUUGUGACCCUACCAGCACUGAGACGGACGACGAAUUCACUUGUUUUUACUCCUCGCCUGUAUAUCAAGUUGCUGGUGAUGAAGUCACAUUUGGAGGUUGGAUGAUCAGCAGUGAAAACAUCAUCAUCUGUGAAGGCAAGAUGAAGCUGCGAGGACACUGGAGUUUGUUCAAAGAUGCUUAAUUGGUGUGAACCCUAAGAGGUGAACAAAAGCCAGGCAGGUGAAGGUGUCCGAGAAGACAGGAAAGCUUGUCCAGAAAAACGCAGCAACUGUUAAUCCCCAUGUGACCACCCUCAUCAAAAACUUCAUGGACUUUGAGUGGCUUUCACAUUGUAUUCUGCAGUGUUGUGAUAUUUAUGUGACAUCACAGCAUUAUGUUUUAUUCAGCCCAGUCUCAUUAGUGAGGCAGAAACUGACAUUUAAGAAUGCACUGAAUUUUGUUAUAUUUAAUAAAAACAGUGUUUUAUCAUCAUCCUUUGUUUGAGAAUUUUUUUGCAAGCAAUUUUAAGUGUUUAUUUUAAAAUUACAUUUUAACAAUGCUAGAAAAUCACAUUCUACAGUAUAAAUAACAGCAGGAACCCUAAAAUAACAGUAUAAUGCAUCCAAACAUCUGACAGUAUUAUACUGUGCAG